CAUGACCUGAGCCAAAGUUGGAUGUGUAACUGAGCCAGCCAGACCACCCCUCGGCCCAGGACGACAGCACAGACCACUCUGCUGGCGAGAGUACUACAAGGGCUGCCGCUGCUGCCCCCUUGCUUCUGAGAGCCUCCAACCCACCAAGCAGGAGGAAGCGUGAGCAGUGAAAGCUUCCUGAGCACUCUGGCUGCACCGGGCCCUGUGCUGAGGACUCCCAUCCGCUGGCACUUAAUCCUCAUGCCAAAGGGGUGACGUCAUCAAGCCCAGAGAGCCUGCCAGACAGACAUUCAGCCAAUACACACCGGGGUCAGACAGCCCACCUGGGAUGCUCGGCCAAUACCCAGCGGGCAGGGGCCCGACCCCAGGCAGUCUCACCCAGAGCCCUCCACGAAGCACAGCAUUGUCCCCCUGAGAAACCUGAACUUCUGAGAAGGUAAAAGAACUAGAAGCUCAAGCUCGCUCCACAAACAGCUGAGGAAGUGAAAAGUGGACUCUGAUGCCCUCUGAGGCUGUCCUCACACUUCCCAUGUAUUCUGUAGUUUUUGUCUGCGAGCUCAUCUUCAGCUGUAAUCCUCCUUCUCUGUAUCUGCGGGGCGUUCCAUUGUUACCUCUGCCUGGGAAGUCCCAGCCCAGCGCUCCUGUGUGUGGGGUAUCUCCCCCUGCCCCCGUUGUAUACCUCACGGUUGUACUCCUGUUGUGUCCUUUCUCCUCCUGGCUCAGCCCAAUCCUAUUGGUCCUUCAACUCCUAGCUCACACAUUGCCCGCUCUGACCCUCCCUGACCUCCUGCAGAACAGAAGGGCCGACGCUGCCAUUGAAGCUCCCUGUAGAAAUCCUAGGCUCAGAGUCAGAAGCAGGAGUCCCUUCCACCCCCCACUGUCUCUGAUGGAGAAAGGAAGACCUCAGAACACACAGACAGCUGCUAGUGGGUGGGACCCGAUUUACAGGUCAGACAUCUGGGGCAAGGGGCUAGGGAGCCGGAGAGGCUGGGAGAAGCACUGCAUGCUGUCAGUGCAAGACUCUGCUCCUGACCUUGGGUAGAGAACCUGGCGCCUCAGAGCUGGGAAACCCCCUCCUCACAGGGGAGGGGGAAGGAUCACACCAGGACCAUCAGUGAACAAACCUGCAGGGCUCAGAAUGGGGCACAAGGCAUCCUCCUGUGGCCAGGGCAGGUAGGAGGGCACCGCUUAGCACAGCCAGCUCCCUCCUCAUAGAAAAUUGGUUUAUAGUCCCAGAAGGCGUUUCCAUAUCGGGCCCGACCAGGUCAGCCAGCCAGGCUAGCUGGCCCAGGGCCAGCAUCGCACGUGGGCGCUUCCUUGGGCCCUUGCACACUUCAGGGGGCCCACCUCCUCCCUGAGGGCCACGGAGGGACCCCCAUGCUGAGCCCCUCCAUUAAAGGUGCUCUGAGCAGCUAA